rnacentral:rRNA from 1 species
UACGGAGGGUGCAAGCGUUGCUCGGAAUUAUUGGGCGUAAAGCGCACGCAGGCGGCGUGGUAAGUCAGUUGUGAAACUCCCGGGCUUAACUUGGGAACUGCAGCUGAUACUGCCAUGCUUGAGUACGGAAGAGGGGAGUGGAAUUCCCAGUGUAGAGGUGAAAUUCGUAGAUAUUAGGAAGAACACCAGUGGCGAAGGCGGCUCACUGGCCCGGUACUGACGCUCAUGUGCGAAAGCGUGGGGAGCAAACAGG